AGCGAGGCUAGAGUCACGCCUAGACAUAAACUCGUUGUCCAGGUGUGCUAGAGUGCUCGCAGAGAAACCUGUCUGCGUUUAUUCAUUGGCUGUAGUCUGAUGUGGCCCAGUCAAUCACCGGCUCAGACACAUUC